rnacentral:snRNA from 1 species
AAGCAUUGCGAUGGUCCCUGCGGAUGC